GCCUGAGUGGCUCAGUCGGUUGAGCGUCUGACUUCGGUUCAGGUCAUGAUCUUGGGGUUCAUGGGUUCAAGCCCCGCACCAGGCU
rnacentral:tRNA from 1 species